rnacentral:tRNA from 1 species
AAAGCAAUAGGUUAUAAAAACUAUCAUCCUUCAAAGAUGAAGAAAAAAGCUUUU